UCUCGAUAGCGUAAAAAUUAAUUCAAAUUUGUAUGGAGUUGGAAAGUUUUCUUACGUUUUCCACUAGGGGCGGUGUCCUAACUGCAUACGAAUUUGAGUUAACUUUUACGCUAUCGA
rnacentral:pre_miRNA from 9 species